AUUUCUUGAAUUAUCUCCAAAGGAUUUUAUGUUUCUGGGAUAUGAUGGACGUUAAGCUUAGCCAAACACGAAAUCUACCAUUCUCUGAUUUUUUUCCUUCAAGUCAAGCAAUAAUCAACUUCCCUUCUCGCGGCUUUUCCUCUAAUCCUCGGGUCGACUUUAAGAACUGCAAGCGUUUCGGAGGUCGAACGGAGAGAUGGAGGUUUCAUGUUCAGGAGAAGUCAAAGAGUCAACAGAGUAGCAACCACUUCUUGGUUCAUGUGGUAAAAGGGGGUGAAACUUUGACCUCAAUAUCAAAGUGGUAUGGGGUGUCCACAGAUGAUAUUGCAGCUGCUAAUAAGGAUAUACAGGAUAUUGACCUUGUUUCUGGAGGAAAGCUUCUUUAUAUUCCUACUUCUACGGUGAACAUCGCACGAGUGGCCAAAAUGAGUAGGUUGCCUGGCGUAACUCUGAAAGGGAAUCAUAAAAUCAUAAGAAUAUUGGACAGUCUUUCAGAGAAAAAGGUUCUUUCAUGGUCAACAGCACAUAGUCUGCCACAUGUUAAGAAGAGUGCUUAUUUUCUAGUACUCGUUCCUCUUAUGGCAUUUUGCAGCAAAUGUCUUAUUGAUGCUCUAUUUGCAAGAAUUAAUGGAAAUCAAGAUAAUUCUUCUACAGUUCAUGGAUUCAAAGAUCACUGUGGUUCGAAAAGUAUGCGCUGGAAAUCUGCUCUUGGUGACAUAAAUGAACUGGAUACACUUGAUUCUGGCUCGAUUCCAGAUUCAAAGCUUGCAGUGCAGUUUCAGAGGUAUGGUAAUUCAAGUGGUUGUCAACUUUGUUAGGCACUUCAAACGGUUAUUGUCAAUUCCCUCUGUUAGUACCAGGAAUUACUUAAUUGGAGCUUGUUUACUUUCUGCAAAAGCAGAGGUUGAUGAAUAUGCAACGAUCAAAAUCUUUCUGGCCUUUUGAAUCCUUCCGAAGAUCAAGCUCAAAAUUUGAUCGAAGAUGAAUGUCAAUCUGAUGCCUACAGCAAACUUGAAAGUGAUUACCAGAAAUUUCUGUCAGAAUGUGGAAUGAGUAAAUCGGGAUACUGGCGAGGAGGUUCUCCCAAGUAAAAAAGAUUACCCAUGUCAAUCUUCUUCCAAAAAGCAAUAGAAAAGAUUCCAACUGAAAUGAAGCAGAUUUGAGUAUUGGAAUUACGAUUCAACCUACAUCCAAGGAAAAAUAUACCAAUCAUUCAGUAAAAGGAAUCAUGAGAAUUGAAGUGAAUCGAAGAUGGUGUAAAUUCUUUAUCUUCAUAGUCGUAUAUUCCCUUUUAGAGAAAGAUUAAUAACUGUAGAAGGUCUCAAAACAGUAUAAAUACUUUGUGGAGAGUUCUGCUUAGUUCACUACAGUUUGUAGUUUGUACAUAUUUCUGGGUGAGGAAACAAGAAUAGGUUGCAAUUUGUUGCGUGUACAUUAUUACUGGAGAUCUUACAGAAUUUAAUUGAUAUUGUGGACAACUA